rnacentral:piRNA from 1 species
GCGAUGACUAAAGAGAGGUUCAUGCCACA